GACGAACGCUGGCGGCGUGCUUAACACGUGCAAGUCGAACGAUGAAGAAGAGAAACGCGAACUUCGGUUCAAAUUUCACUUCGGAUUAGUGGCAGACGGGUGAGUAACGCGUGAGCAACCUACCUCUUACAAAGGGAUAGCCUCGGGAAACCGUGAUUAAUACCAUAUGACACAUUCAUAAGGCAUCUUAAGAAUGUUAAAGCUACGGCGGUAAGAGAUGGGCUCGCGUCCCAUUAGCUAGUUGGUGAGGUAACGGCCCACCAAGGCGACGAUGGGUAACCGGCCUGAGAGGGUGGUCGAUCACAUUGGAAGUGCGACGCGAUCCACACUCCUACGGCAGGCAGCAGUGGGGAGUAUUGCACAAUGGAGGGAACUCUGAUGCAGCGACGCCGCGUGAGCGGUGAUGGAAUUCUUUUCGUAAUACUCUGUUCUAUGAGAAGAAAAGGACUGUACCAUAGGAGAAAGCCCCGGCUGAUUACGUG
rnacentral:rRNA from 1 species